rnacentral:rRNA from 1 species
GUGAACGCUGGCGGUAGGCCUAACACAUGCAAGUCGAACGGCAGCACAAUAAGAGCUUGCUCUUACGGGUGGCGAGUGGCGGACGGGUGAGGAAUACAUCGGAAUCUACUUUUUCGUGGGGGAUAACGUAGGGAAACUUACGCUAAUACCGCAUACGACCUACGGGUGAAAGCAGGGGAUCUUCGGACCUUGCGCGAUUGAAUGAGCCGAUGUCGGAUUAGCUAGUUGGCGGGGUAAAGGCCCACCAAGGCGACGAUCCGUAGCUGGUCUGAGAGGAUGAUCAGCCACACUGGAACUGAGACACGGUCCAGACUCCUACGGGAGGCAGCAGUGGGGAAUAUUGGACAAUGGGCGCAAGCCUGAUCCAGCCAUACCGCGUGGGUGAAGAAGGCCUUCGGGUUGUAAAGCCCUUUUGUUGGGAAAGAAAAGCAGCAGGUUAAUACCCCGCUGUUCUGACGGUACCCAAAGAAUAAGCACCGGCUAACUUCGUG